rnacentral:lncRNA from 1 species
AGAGCAGCGAGCUUCGCGCAGUCCGGACAGAUGAACAUGUCAUACUUCAGAGACAGCCCUCCAGUUUCUGAGGCAGAACCCGCAAGACUGGAUGCCAGGACUUUCCAGCCCUCAGCACCCAUUUCAGACCUCAGGGUUCCUUCUCCCAUGGACCCAGCCAAGCAGAACUUGCUGAAGCACGCAUCCAAAGUACCCAGCACAUAGUAGGUGCUCUCGACCAGUAGCUUGAGUUUCCUUUCUGGGGACACCUGAGGCAAACACCCACCCCUCUUUUCCAGCUCCUUCAGCUAGUCAGAACACUUCAUCAUGUCCUCACUUGUUGGCAGAAAACCAUUCCCCGCCAGCCUGUCCCCUCUAAAUGCAUCCCCUGUGGACUCAACACCAGGCAGAUCUGAACACAGUAUUUAUUCAAUGAUGUUCUGUACUUAGUCACCACAUGGCUCUCUACCUGCAUCGCAGCUCCCCACCUUGGAUUGUGAGGGCUCAGGGCUGGCCCCCCUUAACUAUGAUUUAUAACAACGAACACAGGGUCACAAUGAAAGAGCUCUGAGAUGUUUGUGAACAGAAAGAAUGAAGAUGACAUUGUGGGUCCUGAGUAAGGGCCCAGACAGGCUGCCCAACCCACAGAACCCAAGGCCUGAGCAAGGCCUCAGAGGGUCCAUCUAAGGGAGUAUCUAAGGCACUGUAGUGAAGGACAUGAUUGGCCCAACAAGUGUGGUCUCCUGGUUUCAUGGCAAGCCC